GAGUUUGAUCCUGGCUCAGAACGAACGCUGGCGGCAGGCUUAACACAUGCAAGUCGAACGCCCCGCAAGGGGAGUGACAGACGGGUGAGUAACACGUGGGAACGUGCCCUAAGGUUCGGAAUAUUCCCGGGAAACUGGGAGCAAUACCGAAUGUGACCGCAAGGUGAAAGAUUUAUCGCCUUAGGAUCGGCCCGCGUCGGAUUAGCUAGUUGGUGGGGUAAAAGCCUACCAAGGCGACGAUCCGUAGCUGGUCUGAGAGGACGACCAGCCACACUGGGACUGAGACACGGCCCAGACUCCUACGGGAGGCAGCAGUGGGGAAUCUUGGACAAUGGGCGCAAGCCUGAUCCAGCCAUGCCGCGUGGAUGAUGAAGGCCUUAGGGUUGUAAAAUCCUUUCGUCAGGGACGAUAAUGACGGUACCUGAAGAAGAAGCCCCGGCUAACUUCGUGCCAGCCGCCGCAGUAAC
rnacentral:rRNA from 1 species